rnacentral:rRNA from 1 species
UACGUAGGAUCCGAGCGUUGUCCGGAAUUACUGGGUGUAAAGGGCGUGUAGGUGGGUCUCUCAGUCGGGGGUGAAAUCCUGCAGCUCAACUGCAGAAUUGCUUCCGAUACUGGAGGUCUUGAGUGCGGCAGAGGGAGAUGGAAUUCAUGGUGUAGCGGUGAAAUGUGUAGAUAUCAUGAAGAACACCGGUAGCGAAGGCGGUCUCCUGGUCCGUUACUGACACUGAGGCGCGAAAGCGUGGGGAGCAAACAGG